UCACGAUUGCCUCGGAGCGCGGAGCUGAGAGCUCGGACUGUUGGUGUGAUCCGCAGGGGCGAGAGCUCCUCCAUCACCGCUAACAGACAGACCUGUCCGUGGGCCACAUGAUGGAUGAUGGGAGACAGGUGUGACCAACAGCGCGACCCGACAACUCCCAUCAGGUGCGUUUGGGUUUUAAACCUGGAAAGUCCGGUGGAUUCUGAGGAGCAUCCGAUCCUCCCUGGAGACCUCGAACAGGAAGAGGGAAGACAAUUUCUCAGACAAGCUGCAGCAUGUCUAGGAUAUGCGUCUCCGUACAGAUCUCCAGAGUACAUCAACGCUCUGAGGAGAGGGGAACAAAUUUAUGAUACCAGCGUUAAAGAGGAAGAAACGGUUCAAUUUAAACUCAAAGAAAAGUAAAACUAAAGCUGUAAUCCAACUCCUCGCUACACGAGGAAUCAAGCUCGGACUUCAAAAAGAGCCGCAUGAUAUUGGGAAAACUUGUGAUGUGCAACAAACCCUCAAUUUCCCUUCUAUCAUCUAAACCAGCAGUGGCCAAUCCUCUCAGGUAUGAAUGAAUAAGUGAUUAACAGGCUUGAGGAGCAGGGGAACUAAGACAUUCACAUUAGUGGCCCUGCUGAUCUAAAGCAGUAACAAUUUUGUCAAAUUUCAGAGCUUGACAGCUUCAUAUUUGGCCUCUUUGAAGCAAAUUAUAAAAUGCAUAUUUCACUGUUUGUGCUGUAUUUUCAAAUGUAACAGACUCAAAACCAGCAAUAAAAUUAUGAGGUGAAGAUUGCUAAAAACUGAAAGCUGUUAAAAUAAAAACUAAAUAGAGCACACUUCUAACCAGCUAUUUAUUAAAGUAUUUACAGAUACUAUUGUACAUGCUAUGUCGUCAUUGUGAAAUGCAUUGUGGUCUUGAUAUAUCCAUGCCUAUUUCUCAUUUGUUAAAAUACACUUAAUCUAAGCAGUGUUCAUAUCUACUCAUGUUUCAGCUGUGCUCUGAAGGCACUGCAUGUUGAGGACAUUUUCUCACAAUGUAAAAUACCAAUAAAACAAAGUACAACUGGAUAUAAAAGUCAAUUAAAAAGGAAAAAACAAGGCGUAAAGACUAGAGCAGAGCGCCGAACAGGCGGUGCUCAAUUUCAUGCAUGCACAUUAGUACCUGUAAAAAAGGUCAGUAACCAGGAUAGAUCUAUUUGGAUUUAUCUUUUUGGUGCAAACCAUUUGAGCUACAGAGACGAAGUGU